rnacentral:lncRNA from 1 species
UCAAAUACAAAAGAGGAAAAUGUAAUUAAUGAACCAGUAAUUUCGGAGUGAUCAUCUUUUCUCUUCCUUAGCUCACAGAUAUUUGCUGCUAUCUGUUUUACGCUUUCACAAUAACUUCCAUUUGCAUCACUCUUUACAUGACUACAUCUGAGAGAAGUGUACGCUUUCUUUAGCUUGCCCAUGGUGAUGUGAAGAUGAGAAGAAAUAGCAAGGCCCAACCAGUUCUUCAUCUGGAGACAGUUCAACGUUCUGCAAACCAGAUCUUCAGGAAUUUUACUGGGAUAAUUAUCCAAAUAAAUUGCAAGCAUUCUAUCCAAAUGGAGCUCUUUCUGAGAUGAAGAGAAUUCUCAAUGUCAAGAUUUGAACAAGAAGAGAAUGGAAUACACAAUAUGGACAUCCAUAAAAAUUCAUCAGAGAGCAUUUUACUACUGAGCUGCAAAGGUAGGAAAAAUAAAUUUUUUUUGGUUAGAAAAUAUACUUCUUUCAUCUGCGUUUCAAUAAUUUAUUCCCCUUGUUAGAUAUACAUGGAAUUGAUAUUGCUUAUUCUGACUAAGUGAAAAGUGUUAUUUCUACUUACUGCUCAAUUAGAAACAUGUAGUGUUUAAUUGUCAGUUUGAAUUUUUCUUUCAUACUAUUACAGUUUAUAUUUUACUAUAGGCAGAAUUUCCUCUUUAUCCUAAAUUUUGAUAUUCUCCAUAAUUUCAUCGUGCCUUGACAUUGCUGUAUAUAAUUUCUAUACAUCAGGAAGGCAAUUCUGUGUGCAUGUGUGUGUGUAUAUAUAUAGUUAGAAGUUAGAAACUGAAACUCUUUUUUGUCUACCAUCAUUUCAUAUUUUUCUUGCUAUUUCAAACCUAUAAUUUUUAAAGAAACGACUAACGUAAUCAUUCAUAGAAUAUGCUGUCAGUAACUUAACAAUAUAAAUGUUAACAUGGAGGCAUUUAGUUCAGCAUUUGCUUUACUUAAUAGAGUGCAGAAAAUGUGGCCCUUUUCUCAGUUAGGGUGUAUGUGAAGAUAAAUUUAGAAUUUCUAGACUAGUAAAUACUUCUCUGAUAAUAACUUAAUUAUAGCUAUUUCAAACCAAAUUGUUUAAUUGUGGUGAAUCAUAUGUAAAUUGUUCAGAUGUAGGUCAACACCCACGCCCACAUUCUAGCACCUCUUUCCUAAUUCAAGACAACUUUGCAGUGCCUAAAAGAGCUGAACAGUGCAGAUUAGAGACAUAAGACAAAAAAAAAAAAAAAA